CUUGGUCAUUUAGAGGAAGUAAAAGUCGUAACAAGGUUUCCGUAGGUGAACCUGCGGAAGGAUCAUUAUCGAAUGAAACUUCUGGCCAGAUGUUGUUGUGCUGGCCCUUUGGGGCAAUGUGCACGCCUCCGGUCGUCUGUUUCUUCUGUUCCACCUGUGCACUGCCUGUAGACACUCUUGUGUCUAUGAUUAUGGUUACAAACAUGAUGUUUUGCAUGUCGGUUACAUAUAUAUGAUAAUAUACAACUUUCAACAAUGGAUCUCUUGGCUCUCGCAUCGAUGAAGAACACAGCGAAAUGUGAUAAGUAAUGUGAAUUGCAGAAUCCAGUGAAUCAUCGAAUCUUUGAACGCAUCUUGCGCUCCUUGGCAUUCCGAGGAGCAUGCCUGUUUGAGGGUCAUUAAACUAUCGAAACACCUUUCUUUGGGGGGGUGUUUUGGACUUUGGGAGUGUUUUGCUGGCCUGUUUGAGCCAGCUCUCCUCAAAAGCAUUAGCUUUGGAGACUGUCAGUGUGAUAACUUUGUUUGACGCUGAGUCUCUGCUUCUUAAAUAUAUAUGCCCCCUUUGACCUCAAAUCAGGUAGGACUACCCGCUGAACUUAAGCAUAUCAAUAAGCGGAGGAA
rnacentral:rRNA from 1 species